GACGAACGCUGGCGGCGUGCUUAACACAUGCAAGUCGAACGGAAAGGCCCUGCUUUUGUUGGGUGCUCGAGUGGCGAACGGGUGAGUAACACGUGAGUAACCUGCCCUUGACUUUGGGAUAACUUCAGGAAACUGGGGCUAAUACCGGAUAGGAUCUCCUGCUGCAUGGUGGGGGUUGGAAAGUUUCGGCGGUUGGGGAUGGUCUCGCGGCUUAUCAGCUUGUUGGUGGGGUAGUGGCUUACCAAGGCUUUGACGGGUAGCCGGCCUGAGAGGGUGACCGGCCACAUUGGGACUGAGAUACGGCCCAGAAUCCUACGGGAGGCAGCAGUGGGGAAUAUUGCACAAUGGGCGGAAGCCUGAUGCAGCAACGCCGCGUGCGGGAUGACGGCCUUCGGGUUGUAAACCGCUUUCGCCUGUGACGAAGCGUGAGUGACGGUAAUGGGUAAAGAAGCACCGGCUAACUACGUG
rnacentral:rRNA from 1 species